AUUGAACGCUGGCGGCAUGCCUUACACAUGCAAGUCGGAACGGCAGCACGGGAGCAAUCCUGGUGGCGAGUGGCGAACGGGUGAGUAAUGUAUCGGAACGUACCUUUCAGUGGGGGAUAACGUAGCGAAAGUUACGCUAAUACCGCAUAUUCUGUGAGCAGGAAAGCAGGGGAUCGCAAGACCUUGCGCUGAUUGAGCGGCCGAUAUCAGAUUAGCUAGUUGGUGAGGUAAAGGCUCACCAAGGCGACGAUCUGUAGCGGGUCUGAGAGGAUGAUCCGCCACACUGGAACUGAGACACGGUCCAGACUCCUACGGGAGGCAGCAGUGGGGAAUUUUGGACAAUGGGCGCAAGCCUGAUCCAGCCAUGCCGCGUGAGUGAAGAAGGCCU
rnacentral:rRNA from 1 species